rnacentral:snRNA from 1 species
AUGCUUGCUUUGGCAGCAUGUAUACUAAAAUUGGAACGAUACAGAGAAGAUAAGCAUGGCCCCUGCACAAGGAUGACAUACACAUUUAUGGAACAUUCCAUAUUUUU